CUUACAAAUGCGAAAGAAAGAACAUCGAAUCUCCAGACUACGAAAAUGAAGUCAUUGCUUACAAACGACCAAAUGAAGAAAAUUUUAAAUAUUUUCACAGUGGAUGUAUCGGAUUGGACUUUGAUAUCAUCCGUCCCAUUAUUUUGACUCGUCUUGGCAUCUCUUUAUCAUCGUUGAAUUCAAAAA